rnacentral:rRNA from 1 species
AUUGAACGCUGGCGGCAUGCCUAACACAUGCAAGUCGAACGGUAACACGCUUAGGGUUUCCUCCUACUGGUGGCGGGUGGCGGACGGGUUAGGAAUGCAUCAAAAUCUGCUGUGUCAUGGAGCAUAACGUGUGCCAAUACCCAAUAAUACCUCAUACUUAAUACGGGAGAACGCAGAGGAAUUUUUUGCCUUUCGCGUUUGAAGUAGCCGAUUUCGGAUUAGCUAGUUGGUGGGGUAAAGGCCCACCAAGGCGACGCUCCGUAGCUGGUCUGAGAGGAUGAUCAGCCACACUGGAACUGAGACACGGCCCAGACUCCUACGGGAGGCAGCAGUGGGGAAUCUUGGACAAUGGGCGCAAGCCUGAUCCAGCAAUGCCGCGUGAGGGAAGAAGGCCUUCGGGUUGUAAAGCGCUUUUGUUAGGAAAGAAAAGGUGUGGGUUAAUAUCGGGCCGUAAUGACGGUACCUAAAGAAUAAGCACCGGCUAACUACGUG